UUAAGCGACUAAGCGUACACGGUGGAUGCCCUGGCAGUCAGAGGCGAUGAAGGACGUGCUAAUCUGCGAUAAGCGUCGGUAAGGUGAUAUGAACCGUUAUAACCGGCGAUUUCCGAAUGGGGAAACCCAGUGUGAUUCGUCACACUAUCAUUAACUGAAUCCAUAGGUUAAUGAGGCGAACCGGGGGAACUGAAACAUCUAAGUACCCCGAGGAAAAGAAAUCAACCGAGAUUCCCCCAGUAGCGGCGAGCGAACGGGGAGCAGCCCAGAGCCUGAAUCAGUGUGUGUGUUAGUGGAAGCGUCUGGAAAGGCGCGCGAUACAGGGUGACAGCCCCGUACACAAAAAUGCACAUGCUGUGAGCUCGAUGAGUAGGGCGGGACACGUGGUAUCCUGUCUGAAUAUGGGGGGACCAUCCUCCAAGGCUAAAUACUCCUGACUGACCGAUAGUGAACCAGUACCGUGAGGGAAAGGCGAAAAGAACCCCGGCGAGGGGAGUGAAAAAGAACCUGAAACCGUGUACGUACAAGCAGUGGGAGCACAGAGCAAUCUGUGUGACUGCGUACCUUUUGUAUAAUGGGUCAGCGACUUAUAUUCUGUAGCAAGGUUAACCGAAUAGGGGAGCCGAAGGGAAACCGAGUCUUAACUGGGCGUUAAGUUGCAGGGUAUAGACCCGAAACCCGGUGAUCUAGCCAUGGGCAGGUUGAAGGUUGGGUAACACUAACUGGAGGACCGAACCGACUAAUGUUGAAAAAUUAGCGGAUGACUUGUGGCUGGGGGUGAAAGGCCAAUCAAACCGGGAGAUAGCUGGUUCUCCCCGAAAGCUAUUUAGGUAGCGCCUCGUGAAUUCAUCUCCGGGGGUAGAGCACUGUUUCGGCAAGGGGGUCAUCCCGACUUACCAACCCGAUGCAAACUGCGAAUACCGGAGAAUGUUAUCACGGGAGACACACGGCGGGUGCUAACGUCCGUCGUGAAGAGGGAAACAACCCAGACCGCCAGCUAAGGUCCCAAAGUCAUGGUUAAGUGGGAAACGAUGUGGGAAGGCCCAGACAGCCAGGAUGUUGGCUUAGAAGCAGCCAUCAUUUAAAGAAAGCGUAAUAGCUCACUGGUCGAGUCGGCCUGCGCGGAAGAUGUAACGGGGCUAAACCAUGCACCGAAGCUGCGGCAGCGACGCUUAUGCGUUGUUGGGUAGGGGAGCGUUCUGUAAGCCUGCGAAGGUGUGCUGUGAGGCAUGCUGGAGGUAUCAGAAGUGCGAAUGCUGACAUAAGUAACGAUAAAGCGGGUGAAAAGCCCGCUCGCCGGAAGACCAAGGGUUCCUGUCCAACGUUAAUCGGGGCAGGGUGAGUCGACCCCUAAGGCGAGGCCGAAAGGCGUAGUCGAUGGGAAACAGGUUAAUAUUCCUGUACUUGGUGUUACUGCGAAGGGGGGACGGAGAAGGCUAUGUUGGCCGGGCGACGGUUGUCCCGGUUUAAGCGUGUAGGCUGGUUUUCCAGGCAAAUCCGGAAAAUCAAGGCUGAGGCGUGAUGACGAGGCACUACGGUGCUGAAGCAACAAAUGCCCUGCUUCCAGGAAAAGCCUCUAAGCAUCAGGUAACAUCAAAUCGUACCCCAAACCGACACAGGUGGUCAGGUAGAGAAUACCAAGGCGCUUGAGAGAACUCGGGUGAAGGAACUAGGCAAAAUGGUGCCGUAACUUCGGGAGAAGGCACGCUGAUAUGUAGGUGAAGUCCCUCGCGGAUGGAGCUGAAAUCAGUCGAAGAUACCAGCUGGCUGCAACUGUUUAUUAAAAACACAGCACUGUGCAAACACGAAAGUGGACGUAUACGGUGUGACGCCUGCCCGGUGCCGGAAGGUUAAUUGAUGGGGUUAGCGCAAGCGAAGCUCUUGAUCGAAGCCCCGGUAAACGGCGGCCGUAACUAUAACGGUCCUAAGGUAGCGAAAUUCCUUGUCGGGUAAGUUCCGACCUGCACGAAUGGCGUAAUGAUGGCCAGGCUGUCUCCACCCGAGACUCAGUGAAAUUGAACUCGCUGUGAAGAUGCAGUGUACCCGCGGCAAGACGGAAAGACCCCGUGAACCUUUACUAUAGCUUGACACUGAACAUUGAGCCUUGAUGUGUAGGAUAGGUGGGAGGCUUUGAAGUGUGGACGCCAGUCUGCAUGGAGCCGACCUUGAAAUACCACCCUUUAAUGUUUGAUGUUCUAACGUUGACCCGUAAUCCGGGUUGCGGACAGUGUCUGGUGGGUAGUUUGACUGGGGCGGUCUCCUCCUAAAGAGUAACGGAGGAGCACGAAGGUUGGCUAAUCCUGGUCGGACAUCAGGAGGUUAGUGCAAUGGCAUAAGCCAGCUUGACUGCGAGCGUGACGGCGCGAGCAGGUGCGAAAGCAGGUCAUAGUGAUCCGGUGGUUCUGAAUGGAAGGGCCAUCGCUCAACGGAUAAAAGGUACUCCGGGGAUAACAGGCUGAUACCGCCCAAGAGUUCAUAUCGACGGCGGUGUUUGGCACCUCGAUGUCGGCUCAUCACAUCCUGGGGCUGAAGUAGGUCCCAAGGGUAUGGCUGUUCGCCAUUUAAAGUGGUACGCGAGCUGGGUUUAGAACGUCGUGAGACAGUUCGGUCCCUAUCUGCCGUGGGCGCUGGAGAAUUGAGGGGGGCUGCUCCUAGUACGAGAGGACCGGAGUGGACGCAUCACUGGUGUUCGGGUUGUCAUGCCAAUGGCACUGCCCGGUAGCUAAAUGCGGAAGAGAUAAGUGCUGAAAGCAUCUAAGCACGAAACUUGCCCCGAGAUGAGUUCUCCCUGACUCCUUGAGAGUCCUGAAGGAACGUUGAAGACGACGACGUUGAUAGGCCGGGUGUGUAAGCGCAGCGAUGCGUUGAGCUAACCGGUACUAAUGAACCGUGAGGCUUAACCUU
rnacentral:rRNA from 1 species